GUGCUCGCUUCAGCAGCACAUAUGCUAAAGCUGGAAGGAGACAGAGAAGAUUAGCGUGGCCCUCGAGGGAGGGUGACAUGCUAGGGUUCAGUAAGAAGAGGAAAUACCA